AGAGUUUGAUCCUGGCUCAGGAUGAACGCUGGCGGCGUGCCUAAUACAUGCAAGUCGAACGCUUUGUGGUUCAACUGAUUUGAAGAGCUUGCUCAGAUAUGACGAUGGACAUUGCAAAGAGUGGCGAACGGGUGAGUAACACGUGGGAAACCUACCUCUUAGCAGGGGAUAACAUUUGGAAACAGAUGCUAAUACCGUAUAACAAUGACAACCGCAUGGUUGUUAUUUAAAAGAUGGUUCUGCUAUCACUAAGAGAUGGUCCCGCGGUGCAUUAGCUAGUUGGUAAGGUAAUGGCUUACCAAGGCAAUGAUGCAUAGCCGAGUUGAGAGACUGAUCGGCCACAAUGGGACUGAGACACGGCCCAUACUCCUACGGGAGGCAGCAGUAGGGAAUCUUCCACAAUGGGCGAAAGCCUGAUGGAGCAACGCCGCGUGUGUGAUGAAGGGUUUCGGCUUGUAAAACACUGUUGUAAGAGAAGAAUGACAUUGAGAGUAACUGUUCAAUGUGUGACGGUAUCUUACCAGAAAGGAACGGCUAAAUACGUGCCAGCAGCCGCGGUAAUAAGGGCGA
rnacentral:rRNA from 1 species